rnacentral:misc_RNA from 1 species
AAAUGCGAUAAUUAAUGUGAAUUGCAGAAUUCAGUGAAUCAUCGAGUCUUUGAACGCACAUUGCACCCCCUGGUAUUCCGGGGGGUAUGCCUGUCCGAGCGUCAUUGCUGCCCUCAAGCCCGGCUUGUGUGUUGGGUCCUCGUCCCCCCCCGGGGGACGGGCCCGAAAGGCAGCGGCGGCACCGCGUCCGGUCCUCGAGCGUAUGGGGCUUUGUCACACCGCUCUCGUAGGCCCGGCCGGCGCUGGCCGACGCUGAAAAGCAACCAUUAUUUCUCCAGGUUGACCUCGGAUCAGGUAGGGAUACCCGCUGAACUUAGGC